UACGUAGGGGGCAAACGUUGUCCGGAUUUAUUGGGCGUAAAGAGCGUGUAGGCGGCCAAGCAGGUCAGCUGUGAAAACUCGAGGCUCAACCUCGAGACGUCGGUUGAAACCGCUUGGCUAGAGUCCGGAAGAGGAGAGUGGAAUUCCCGGUGUAGCGGUGAAAUGCGCAGAUAUCGGGAAGAACACCCGUGGCGAAGGCGGCUCUCUGGGACGGUACUGACGCUGAGACGCGAAAGCGUGGGGAGCGAACAGG
rnacentral:rRNA from 1 species